rnacentral:rRNA from 1 species
UACGUAGGGGGCAAGCGUUGUCCGGAUUUACUGGGCGUAAAGAGCGUGUAGGCGGCCAUGCAGGUCCGUUGUGAAAACUGGAGGCUUAACCUCCAGACGUCGACGGAAACCGCGUGGCUAGAGUCCGGAAGAGGAGAGUGGAAUUCCUGGUGUAGCGGUGAAAUGCGCAGAUAUCAGGAAGAACACCAAUGGCGAAGGCAGCUCUCUGGGACGGUACUGACGCUGAGACGCGAAAGCGUGGGGAGCGAACAGG